GUCUGUUUUACGGCUCUUAGAAAUUCUAGGAUGCCUAAGCCAGUGCAAUUAAGUGACACAGGCAGAAUUCAAACCCUGGUGUAUCUGUUUUUAAAGUUUGUGCCAGAAAGGAUACCUAACUACUAAAAGUUACAAAACAUGAACUUGAUUAUGGACCUCCUGUAUCCUUAUAAAAUGUUUCCUUUGUUAAGGUGAUAUUCUCAUUCUUCACAUUUCUGUGCCUAUGUUUCUUGUCUCCCUCCCUUGUGAGUUAUAUCAUUGGCAGAUUUUGAAGAAAGAGGUGAACACACUCAGUUCAGCCCCUUCUGCUCUCCCCUCUUCAGACCUGGCUGCUUAUGCAGAAGGUCCAUCCUGUUCUACUCUCUGCCACGCAGUAAGAAGCCUGCAGUUAUGCAGCUGUGCUGGUGGCAGGAGUGAUAUACUAGUGAAGCUACUUGGCUGCAAAUAUAAAGUCAUGUUCUCUAAUCAGCUUUGUCAGUAAUGACGAUAGUAUUUUCAUCUCCCUUAUUUUGACUCCCGUUUACUACUCAACUGGAUCCAGAUUCAAGAGGAUAAAUACGGAAA
rnacentral:lncRNA from 10 species